AAGAAAGUCAUAAUGGUUAUGAGGCUGGCUUGAAACUAGUUUUAGAAAGUUCGAUUCUUUCCUUUCUUG
rnacentral:tRNA from 2 species